CCCGGCUCCGGGCCGGAGCGCGGCCCCUGGGGUGGGCUCACCUUCCCCUUCCCUCCCCAGCUAAACCUCCAGCCCCCAAACUGCUGACGGCUUAAUUAUUGCAUAGGAUAAUUAGCACGAAGAACCAGACUGAGCCCUCUCCAAACUCAUUUCACUGAGGAAAUCAAUCUGAUCCCUCCCAACGGGCUCCGCUGCCAAACUUAAUUCCAAAUAAUUGAAUGGAGAAGUGCUUUAAUGUUUCGGAGGGGCGAACGCAGGGAGCCGGUGACCGUCCCGCGGCGGGUGCCGCUGCCUGGGUGCCCGCGCCGCCGGGGCUGUGGUCCCGGCUGGAAGCGGGUGAUCAGAAUGGAGAGAGCACGCGUUUCUCCCCGCUCCAGGAACCCAGCUCCCACCUGGGCACCGGCCGAAGGCGGCGGCGCUGCUGGAGACGGAGCAGGACGGGCACGGAGCGGGCAGGAGUUUCCUCAUCUUUUCCUUGGAGGUGGUCAAAUUUCAAACGCUCCGAAGCAUUGUCCUGAUGUGUGGCUGCAUCUUGGGAAUAUCCCAAAAACCCUGAGAUGCAGACCUGGGAUGAAGGUUGUGUAGGAACCAGUUUGCUUGCGAGAGGCUGGGAUGGGUAAGCAGAGUUGGAGAAGCAGCGGUGGGGAGGCUCCGGUGAAGAGGCAGGGAGGGAAUGGCAAGGAUGGGAUGGCUGGGAUGGAGCAACAGAGAUGGAUGCUCCAGCAUUGCUUCCUUCCUUGCUCUGCUCCCAUCCAUCCCAGUGGCACCAGUGGGUCAAGGGGCUCCCCGCUGCGGGAGGACCUGGCUCUUUGCAGAGCAGCCACAGCUCUGGUGAGACGGGGACAUGCUCAGAGCCGUGUUCCUGAGCCUGAUAUUUCAGCUUUCCCGGUUUUGUUACAAAUCCAGAACUGAUCCUGUUUAAUACUAUUUAGCAUCCGUUACAAAGGAAGCUGUGCUAAUGCUGUAUGACAGUCAUUCCUCUCCUCCCUCUGUGCAGGUGUAGCUGAUUUUAUUCGUACUGGUUUUCUGCAUUUGUUGCAGGCUCUAUGAAGUUUUUCAACAACCAGAAAAGUUUGGGAACUUGGAAAGAUGACGUGUGAAACUGGGAAAAUGCCCUUUGGAGCUUGCGGUCCCGCCUGGAGGGGCAGUGCUGGGGCCAGGACAGCCUUUCUCCUCACCAGGCUCAGGUGUCCCCGGCACAGGCUUUGCCUGUCCUGCUCACUGACGCUUUGGGUGUCCGCACCCCGUCCAAAAGCAUUUAAAGUGGAUGUUCUUCCUCCCAUCCCAGCUCACCAUCAGGCUUUAGAGGAAACCUAAGUAGAUAAAUCAGUGCAGUGAGCAGGUGUGGGAGAGCUUUUCCCGUGCUGCUGCAGUUGGAGGGAGGCUUUGAAGCACAGACCGCUGGAUCCCAGAAGGACUGCGCAGAGCCAUGGAGGGACAGGCAUUCCCUCUGCCCCACGGGCACCUUGGUCACCCUGUGAGCCGUAUCCCUGGGAAGGACUGGGAUACACGGUGGAAAUGUACUGGGUGGGAGUAGCGGGGUCUGUCAUGAGGGCUGCCGCAAGAUGCUACGUGCUCCGGACACCACUCUCCUGGGAAAAUGCGGUGGGUUUGGGUGGCAGGCAGCCCUCCAGCCUGGGAGAGAGCCAGCCCGGGCAGGGAUGUGCCCAAAGCGCCCAGACGUGCCGGUGCUUCCCGACGGCCGAGCGCUCCCAGCCCGCUCAAUGGGAGCUUUCAGUCCUUCCUUCUCCUUCCCUUCGCGCCGUGCCCCGCAGCCAAGUCAGAACCCCGGCUUUGUUCACAUUUUUGAAAAUAAAUCAUUUUUGGGGUGAAUUUCAUGCCACUGAAUAACGCCAGCGGGACGGUGGCAGGGACUAUAAGGGCUCCCUUAUUUGCGGGAGGCGCCCAGCCGCAGGCAAAGCCAUUCCCGGGGAUGCUGAGCACCCUGCGCUGCCCUGGUGCUGGGGAGCGGCUCGUGUCCCCCGCGGUGGCUGUCACCCCCCCUGUGCUGCUGGGGGGGCCCAGCCUGUGUCCCCAGAGCUGCCACCCCAGCAGCGCUCGCUGCACACGGGGCUCGGCUUCUCAGCGGCUCUGCCAGCCAGGGCUCGGCACUGCUGGUGCGUUACUGGGAAGGACUGGGAUACACUGGAGGAACGACGGGUGCUUCAAGGCGAGGUGGAGCAGGGGAAGGGGCCUGGGAGUGGGGCCCAUUCCUGAAACACAGAUAGCUUUGAUAAUUAGCCAGGACUGUGAAGGGAAAUGAUGAAAGGUAGAAAGGAUUUGUUUAAGCACGGCCUGUUUUAUUGCUUUCCUCUCUCAAAGUCUCUCUUUAAAGUGGUUGGGAGAUUUUUUUUUUUGCUCUUAUUUUGCCUCAGAUGUUGAACUUUAAUUACAACCAACACACUGCCAUACCUGUAACGUGGAUAAAUCAUGUAAAGGAUUUUCCCAGGGAUUCCUGCUCUCCCCACCUCGCUGUCGCACACGGGGGUCGCAGCGGGGACCCCGGCUCAGCCCCGCGGGUGCUGCACAUCUCGGUGCUGCCGCCGAGCUCUUGCUCAUAAUCCAGAGCCGAGGCUGGGAUGAUCCCGGCAGCCCCACUGCCGUGGGGCCGUGGGGCCGCCGCUGCUCGCAGGCUGCUGGCCAUGCCCGGCUGCUUUUGUUAGCAAGGGGAAAAUCUGCCACCUUUUCCCAUCACACAGGAGCUGUGAUGCUUCACCCUCCUGGACCCGCAGGUGAUGCAGGGCUGAUGGCAAACCGUGGUUUUUCCCCUCUUCCCAGCCCUGCCAUCCCCUCUGGCUGCUGCCGCCUGGGGAUGGUGCACAAACCCCUCGGACACGGGGCGCCCAACGCUCUCAGCACUCACCUUCGCACAUCUCCUGCUCACCCACAAUUAUUGCAAGGGAUCAUUACAGUCUGUGUGCACUAAUUGCUGCAAUAGUGCCUUUCCUGGGAGGGAAUUGGAGCAAUAGUUUGGUUUGAUUCUCUUCUCCUCACGGUUGAGGUGGAUGUGGUUGAACUUUCUGGGCCAGGGCAGCGGUGCUGCUCGCUGGGCUCAGGCUGUCUGCUCCCACCAGGAAGGACUGAAGCUACAGGAGAGCAGCAGCUCUGCAGGGACAGCCGGGAUGCCGAGGGGCUCAGCUGGUCCCCACGGGGGCCGGAGGGGUGGGUUCUGGGGUCUGGCUGCAAACAGACACAGGGUGGUGGAGCACCGCCAGCUCUGCUGUGGAUGGCAAAGCAACGUCGUGCCUUGCCCCGGCUUGGAGAGGAGGAGAAGCGCGAUGCUGUUGCGUGCCCCAGCAGCCCUGACCUAGCUCUUCUCCCGGUAUUGAUUAUUCUAAUAUAUUUAUUAUUCAUGAUACGCCGUAAGUACUCAGGGGGUUUUAUAGGCAAACAAAAGCGGCGGGUGAUGCCCUGAGGUGCUGCCCCUCAUCCCUCAUAAGUGACUCUGAGAGCUCCCAGUGCAUUCCAGAGCUGCCCCCCCCCAUCACCCCCCAUUGGGGUGCGCACAGACAGGGUGUGGGAGAACCCCAGCAGGGACAGGACCACAGCUUAACAUCAUCUGAUCAAAACCAGGGAGAUGCUGUAGAAGGCUGGAUAGGAAAGAGCUCAAUUAAGAUAAAAUCACAGGGAAUUGAUUAAUAAUUAGUGGGUAAUUAGUUAUCUCCCUGCCAUCUGGAGGGCUGAAUCUGCUUGUGAAGCAAGCAGCUGUCUGCUGGGUGUCCCUCACCACCCGGGCUGCCCUGUGCUGCUGGAGGGAGGCCCUCGCCGGAGCCCACAUCUCCUCCAGCAUCUCCAUUUUGGGUACCUCUUGCUCUCUGAGUUGCAGAAAGAGGCCUGGAAGCACCUACUUGUUGCUUCAGCUCUUAUUUUCUGGUUUUAUUCUACAAAGCUGUGAAGGGAGAGCUCUUCCAUGGACCCGUCCUUGGUGUGUGGUGGUCUGAGUUACUGAAGAGCUCAUGUGCAUCUUCUGCUUGAAGCUGGAACAGCCGAUGCCCAGCCUCUUCCCCAAGAAGGAGGAGGAACAAAAGGGCUUUGAAGACACAAUGAAGAUGAACACCAUCUGCAGGCACCCAGAGGUCUGUGAGUUGUGGGAUGGAGCCCAUAUCCCACCCUCCAGCAGUGGGGAUGGAGAUGUGACCCAUGAACAUGGGCGCUGUGCAGAGCUUGUGGGGCAGGAGGGGUCACCCCUGGCUGGUGAGGGCUUAGGAAAAGCUGCUGUCCCUCUCUUUCUUUCAGAAACUGGAUACUGAGCAUCAGCUCAUCCUUCCGCAGCCUUGGUAGGCGGUGAUGGGGAGGUGUUGCUGUGGGUGGCUCAUUCUCCAUAGGUGUCUUACUCACAGGGGCAGGACCUGAUGCUGUGCAGCACCAGGGAGCUCUUGCCCUCCCUGCUGGGUUUCAAGAUGAAGCCCAUGGACCAUGAAGCCACACAUUGAUGUAGCUCCUGGGUUCAAGAGAGAGCAAGGUGCUUGUUUCCCGUUGCUCCCUGCCUCAUGGGCUCCGGAAGUCCUUGCUGCUCAUUCAUUGGCCUCAGGAGAGGGACAGCAUACUGAAGGAAGGUCACAGAAGAGAGCAGGUGAAGGUUCUCAGCUCCAGGGUGGGAGGGAGACGUGGUUCUGGUGUUAGGGAUUUGCUGGUGUUCACCUGCCUCUCCUCCAGCCCCUGCCUUGAUCAGCAAUACCAUCCGCCACUUUCUGCUCUCCCCUUAAUCUCUGCCAUUUGUAAAAUCUGAGUCAUGCCAAAGUCGUUGCGAGACUUUGUGCAUAUUUAUUACUCCUUUCGAAGGAGAAAAAACGCUCGAUGAAUAGUGAAUAUUAACAGCUUGGAGAGAUGGACUGACACCACCAGAAGCUUUGGGUGUAUGCUGGCUUGCAUCCUGCCCCACCAUCGCUCCAUCUGGUCCAGAAUGGCUGAAUUUCUGCACCCACUUGGUCUGCUUCUUGGUUUUGGCCAUUGCUUCAUCCCUGACGAGGUUUUGCCCUCUGCAAACAGAGCGGAGCAGAGCCAAGAGCAGGCGGCAGGGCAUCCGCGAAAUCCAUCACAUCAAUGGGAAGUCCCUGCCAGCACCAGCGAGCCUGGGCUGCAGCCAGGUUCUUCUGUUGAUGUUUUAAUGACGCUAAAUGCAAUUAAGGAUGAGAGAGAGUAGCAUUAAAUUAAAUAAAGUAUCAAAGGCUCGAAGAUUCUUAGCUGAUGGGGUCAUAACUGCCUUUUGGGUUUCUGUGGGCAAGUGGCAGGUGUUGCUGAAUUGCCUUCUACCCGUAGAGCUGUUGUCCUGUCCUUCUGCCUGUCCGCUGCCCACUGCAGCGUGGGUUGACGGGUCCUGACCUUGUGGCACACCAACCCUGAGCUCAGAGGCACAGCACGCAGUCCCCCAGCAUCCCAACCCCUGUGUCCUCUCUCACUGCUGUCCUCACCAAACUGAGCCUUGUCCCAGCUGGUGAUGGGAUGUCCAGUAGCUAUUGCCCCACCACUGGGAAGCUCCAGCUGUGUCGUGGAGGGGGUUUUAAUAGCUCAGCUCCACCAGUCCUCAAAGGCCAAACACUUCCGACUCCUGCAGGGUCUGGAAGAGCUGAGGACACCCAGUGCGCAGCUGGAGCUGUGAUGGGGCAGCUGUGAUCGUGCUUAGAACAAGAGGAAAUGGUCUGAAGUUGUGCCAGGGGAGGUUUAAACUGGAUAUUAGGAAAAAUCCCUUCACAGAAAGGUCUGUCAAGCAGUGGAAGAAGCUGCCCAGGGCAGUGGUGGGGUUGUUAUCCCUGGGGGAUUUAAAAGCUGUCUGGAUGUGGUGCUCAGGGACGUGGUUUAGAGGUGGAGUUGGCAGUGCUGGGUUCAGAGUUGGGUUCAGUGAUCUUAAAGGUCUUUUCCAACAUUUCCAUGAUUCGAUGUGCAGGGCAGCCACCGAAGUUCCCCAGUGCCUGUGGGCUUGGUAGCUCAGCGUUGGCUGGAUCCGUCUGGGGCCGGGCAGCCGCUGAGCCCAGGAGCGCUGCCUUCGGGCACGGUGUCCGUGUGUCUGCCCAUGCUGAAUCGCCUCUGCCUGCGCCUCGAGCCUUACCAGGGGGGCAAGACGGGAAUAAAGGGGGGUUGAUGGGCUUGUGCUAAUUGCCAGGCUUCACUCACACUGGCGCAAGAGGCGUGCUGAGUGGCGGGCUUACAAUCAGCGUUAGCGUCCCUAACGAAGUCCCGUGGGCUUCCCACCUUCCCUUGCUCCUUUUAUUGCAGCCACGGCUCCCAGAGACUUUAAAGCUCCUUUUGUUAGGGACUAAAAGGGGCCUUAAAAUCAUAAUUUAAAAUGGAAUUAAAUUAAUUUAAAAGGGAGGCACUCAAGGCUGUCUUUCUUCUAGCCCUGACAGGUUUUCCAUCCACAUUUGCCUCACCUGAGGAGGGCUGGGCACGAACGCACGUCUCUCAGGUCUGCCCAGGGGAGAAUUCUUUGCCCGCUCCCCACGGAGCGCAGGGAUGUCUGCCUGGAGAAUGGUGCCUGUCCCCUGUCCUGAGCACUUCUCUUGGCUGCUGGACACGGGGACGUAGCAGAGCAGAAGAGAUCUGCUGUGGUGGUCCGGGAGCAUCGUAACGUCUGGGAGCAGUAGUUGCUCCAGCCCUGGUUAUCCUUGCUUUCUCAGCACAGGCAGCAGCACUGAGCUCCAGCUCCGAGGCUCUGCGUGCAAAACCCAAUGCACAGGGCGAGAAAUGCACCAGCCUGAUCCUGGGUUAUUUUUUGCCCAUUUCUGAAAAUUAUAGCUUAGCUGAUGGAUUUUCAGGCCAGAAGGGACCACCGUGACCAGCCAGGCUGACCUCCUGCUUUCCACAGCCCGCUGCCUUGGCAUAAAACUCAUCCCUUUUGCUCAAGCUGAAACGUAUUUUUUUGAAAGAUACUCAGUCUCCGUUAAAAGACCUGGAGUGAUGGAGAUUCCACUCGGUCCCUGGGGAUUCGUUCCAACGCUUAAUUGCUCUGACUGCUAAAAAUGUGCUUCUUAUUUCUAAUCUGGAUUUGUCUUGUUUCGGCUUCCAGCUAGGGAUGUUGUAAUGCCUUUUCCUGCUAGAUUAAAGAGCCGUCUGCUAUCAGAAAUCUCUUCCUCGUGCAUAUGCUUGUAGACCGUGAGCAAGCCACCUCUUGGUCUCCUCAAUAAACUAAACAGCCGGAGCUUCUUCACUCUGUCACUGUAAUGCAUAUUUUCCACUGCCUUGACUCACUCCCAGCUCUUUUCUGAACCCAUUCCAAGUUCUCCUGCUCUGGUUGGAAGCAUAGACGAGAGCACUGAAGGCAGCAUCUUUGCAGCGGGCUCCUCGUGCCAUGUGGCCGGGUAACAGCAUUUCUCCCUCCUCCUUUGUGGCUGCAGCCAAGGAUGACGCUCAUCUCCUGAGCCCGUGUACGCACUGCUCAGGCUGCGGGGCCGCGCUGCCGCUCAGCGGCGUUGCCUGCCGGGGUAGGCACGGGCAGGACAGUGAUGCACGUGCACCUGCCGGGUUUGCAGGACCUCAGCAUUUUGAAUUGACUGAGCUGGAGGCCAAGAUGCUCAGGACAGGAACCACCAGCUCCACUCCAGGCUUGGCUCCUGCCCAAGAGAUGGAAGGGAGAGGAAACCCAGCCACCCCCAUAACGCCCUCCUAUCCCUGUCCUCUUUCACCCAGUUUCCCAUGUUUGGGGCUGAAACGAGGUGGGAUUUAUAAAGGCCAAGCGCAGCUCGGUGGGGUUUGAUAGGGGUGGCUGUGGGAACGAGGAGGGGGAGAGGAAGGGCUGGCUGUGGUCCAGCUCAUCAUUAAAAGUCAGCGUGGUGGGAUUCACCCACCGCCUCAUUAGUGCUGGGAUUCUUGGAGCUGUUGGAGCUGUGAGAGCGGCUCCCUAAGAGAUUAAUCAUCUGUGACCCAUCGGGGCUAUGUUUUGGUCUCCUUUCUGAAGCCCAUCCUGUUCCCGUUCCCUACCCACGGAGCAGGCUCGGCUCUGAUGCCGGCCAGAGGUCGGUAUUUCUCUUCCCUUCAGAACAAUGGAGCACUGGGCUGCAGCAGCCGACACAUAGCAGCGUGCUGAUGGUUGCCAGCUGUGUUGCCUUAACAUCUUCCCAUUAUCUCCGCAUUGCUGGCCAGCCCUGUCUUGGGGGAAGCUUCGGCCUGAUUUUGGCAGAGGAAGGAGUCUCCCUCCCAGCAUGGAAAGUUGGCCGGGUGCUGGCUCGCUCUGCCCCGAACAUCUGCUGCCGGCUUGGCAGGGAGCGGGGCUGCACGCCGGCGCUGACACAGGGGUGUACAGGAACACACACAGCCGUGCCAUACCAUGCCGUGCCAUACCAUGCCGUGCCAUGAUGCUGAGCCAUGCGGUGUGGUACCAUGGUGUGCCGUGUUGUGCCAAGCUGUGCCAUGCUGCAGCGCGCCAUGCCUCUCUCACCAUGCCGUGCCACGUCAUGCCAUGCUGCGCCAUGCCAUGCCCAGCACCCCGCCCGCCACCUCCCUGCACAGGGCUGGGGAAUGCAGCACCCCGACACCCCAGCAGCAGCUGCCCAGCACACACCCGCACGCACGCACCGGCUCGUGUGUGUUCCCACCGCACGGCCGCCUCUGCCUGACCCCUGCCGCAGGCACCGCUCAGGUGCACGCAGGGGUGCAGACAUGCGCACCCGUCACUGGUCGCGCGCACGCACGGCUGCAGAGCAGAGCUGGUCUCUGAGUGCAUGAACUGCUUUACAUCAAAGCAGGAGCAGCCAGAGCCUUGGGUGAGUGCAAACAAACCCCUUUGCCAAAGCCCUCGGUGGUUACGGGUGCAUGUAUUUCCUCCUGUUACUUUCUCAUGACUUGCUUCACCAUGUGCAGACUGAGACCAGACCCAGAAAAGGGGAAUUGCGCCAAGAAAAGCCCUCUCUGCUUGGUGCAGAUGCCUGAAACACAGAGGGGCUGGGGCUGUACCCAAAAAGCAGGGUGGCCUUUGCCAAGGGCAAGGUGGCGCACCUGGGACAUCCCCUCCUCUUGUCUGGAAGAGUUUAUUUCAGCUCUUGGCAGAGGCCACUCAGUGAGCACUGGUGCUCUCUGGAUGAACUCCCAGGCCCAAAUCAGUUGAGGGAGGGAUUAAGCCCCAGGGCUGGUCCUGGCCACAGAGCUGCAGAGCAGGGUGAGACACAGUGGCCAGACCAGCAGGUCUGGAUGAACCAGGGGUGCUCUGGCCAUGGACCUGCAGACAGGCUGGGUGCUGGUGGAGAGUGGUGCGAGCACCGAGAGGAAAGCAGGGAGCUGUGGAGAUGGGGCAGAUGGGCAUCACCUGCGUUGGCAGCUCCUUGCUCUUCUUGCUUCAAUACACGAGGCAAUAAAGCCUGCUGAAAAUGCAACAUGCUGCAUGUAGCUGCAAUGCUCCUAGGGCUGCGGGGGAGCUGUGUGCUCUUUGCUCUGUGUUACGGAGCAGGGCCAGCCUGCAGCAGCCCCAGCGUCGUGUCCUGCCCUGCCAGUGCCAACCCACUCUGUGCCCGGGCUCACCGAACCAGCCCCAGUGCUGGAAGCCACACUUUCGCUGGGGAAAGCAGCAGCCCGGAGUCGUGGAGCUGCUCCUCCAAAUCCAGGGGCCACGGAGGAGCCGUGCAGCGGGAAGGAGACGGGGAUGCUGGGUGAGGGCCCCUGCUGAAGGCAUAGCACGAGAGGGAAAACGAAAGUCCCAAAUAAUCUGAGAACCUGAAUGCCUCUUGCUGUUCAGGUUUUGUGAACAUCCUUAACGGAAACACAUGUGCAAUGCUCUCUCUGUGGAUCUACCCGAGAAGCCUUUUCCGUUUUUGCUGCGUUAGCAAACUGCAGACGACUCUUUCUCUCCUCCAUGAACUACUGAGCAGGGACCCUGGACUCUCUCCUCCAUUUUCAUUCAGAGCCUCUGCCAGCAUCAUAAACCCAGUAAAACGUUAUGGCACUUUGCACCCACUGGGAAACCAAAUGUAUUUUAAUGUAUAUUUAAUAGAUUUCAGGUCUUUCUGUUAUUAAAUUUGCUUUUCAUUCGCCCCCUCCCCCUCUCUUUGGUGCAUGAGACUCAAUGGGAAAUUCUAAGUGUAUUAAACCAGCAUCUCGCAGAAACAAAUCCAGAUGGCCUGGUACAAAUCAGGAAAAAAAAUCGCAUCAGAAUCCAUUAGAAUCUCAGCCCAAAUGCAUUGCACAUUUCGCCAGGCAGAGACCGCCCCGUUACUCCGCUCCUUGCUACGCGACAGCCAGGAAACAUGUGCCUUCUUCUCUGGGCUUCUUGGGAAGGCGAUGGGUUUCACAGCCUGGAAGCCGCAGAUUCCCCUUCGGUGUGCGCCGGUGGAAGCAGAACCCGGAGGGGUCAGAUGGGGCAUUCUGGUUUUCUCUCGCUCUAACCGGGAGCAGAACUGGACCCUCCAGCCAUGGCUGCCUCAAGGGAGGGGAGGGAUGGUGCAAAUCUCCCGGGAAUCCUCCUCCUGCCUGCGGCUUUGCCGGCACCAGAAGAUGCUCAGCAGAUUGCGUUGGCCACCCCCUGCCUGGAGAUGCGUUCUUGGAGCGAGGGUCCUUGGGGUAUGCGGGGUGGACAGGAUUGCUCGCAGACUCUUUGUAAGAUAAAUAUGACCAUUGCUCCCCAGGAACUCAUUUUCCACGCUUUAUUAGUAUUUCAGACCACAGCUCCUACCAUUCUGGUGAAGUACAGCCCAGGUGACCAGGUGAAAAAGAGAUUGUUUUCCUUUAUUCUGGAGCGAAUGCCGGUAGCCGGUGGGUCGCAGGGGCAGGAGGGAGCUGAGAUGGGGGACCAGAAUGGGCAAUGUUAUUUAUUCCAUCUGCUCUGACAUUUGUGAAGUGCUCCUCUGUGGAAUUUCCCCCUGGUCUCCGUGCCCGUUCCUCCCGCGCGCUCAGCUGGGCUCCCUGUGCGCCCCUGCUCUGUUUGCCUUCAGUUAAUAUUCAAGCAAACAGAAUGAGUUAUGAGGAGGAAUGUCCAUGGAAACAGUGAAUUUUAAGGCAUUCUUGUAAAAUAUUCAUAGAAAGCAAAUUUUGAAUUAAUACAGAAUGUGUGCACUGAAGACCUGGUGCUAAGAGUCAUCUACUCAGGGAACGGAAAUAAUCCCCUAUGACCUAUACGGCCAAUAAAGCAGCUUGACUUUUGAAUUCUCGCAGUAAACUGCCUGUGAACAAGACACAGGCCAAGAAUUAUUUGCAGAAAUUAUUCAUUAAGGGCCUAAUCCAAAACCCAGCGAAGUCAGUGGAAAUAUCCCCCCGUGUUAGGCCCCAAAUAAUUUUGGAUAAUGAAUACAUUGGAGAAAACAGUGAUCCUUUCCCGGAUAACUCAACGACCAGAAAAAAAAGAAGCAAACUUCACCGAGCAAAGUUAUGGGCUGUAAAUAACCGACGGAGCGGCUCUCACCCCCGCUGCAUCUGCUCUCCUCCGGCUGCAGCUUCACAGCAUCACUUUCCCUGCGUCUGCAGCUCUCGUGGGGACCAGCAUGGGACACCUCCUAGAAGCAUAGAAUCAUUAAGGCUGGAAAAGACCUCUAAGCUCACGCAGUCCAUCCAUCAGCCCAACCCCACCUUGCCACCUCGACCAUGUUCCCACGUGCCACAUCUACCGCUCCAGCGAUGGAGACUCCACCACUGCUCUGGGCAGCCUCUGCCAGGACUUCACGAGUGCUUCUUGUGGGGACAACACUAACCUGGUCCCAUGCACCCUCUUCCACAUGGUGCCAUGGCAUUCCUGAGGAAAAUGGAUAGGAUAAGGCCAAAUCCUGCAUUCUCGCUGCCGCCCCCCCCGUAACACACAGCUCAUCCCUUCCCAAGAAAAUCAGACCAGAGAGACAAUUAUUUGUUGUGUCUUCUCCAAGUAUCUAAUUGCAAAGCACCCCGGGAGUGUUGGGAGGAAUUGUAUGGCAACAAAAUAGGUGAUUAUUGUUAUUGUUGUUAGCAUUAUUAUUACUAUUCCUGUUAUAACAUGGCAGU